UACAGAGGGGGCAAGCGUUGUUCGGAAUUACUGGGCGUAAAGGGCGCGUAGGCGGCCGCCUAAGUCAGACGUGAAAUCCCUCGGCUCAACCGGGGAACUGCGUCUGAUACUGGGUGGCUUGGAAUUCGGGAGAGGGAUGCGGAAUUCCAGGUGUAGCGGUGAAAUGCGUAGAUAUCUGGAGGAACACCCGUGGCGAAGGCGGCUCUCUGGGACGGUACUGACGCUGAGACGCGAAAGCGUGGGGAGCGAACGAGG
rnacentral:rRNA from 1 species